GACGGGGGAUGCAAGUGUUAUCCGGAAUCACUGGGCGUAAAGCGUCUGCAGGUGGUUUCCUAAGUCCACUGUUAAACCUUGAGGCUCAACCUCAAAUCUGCAUUGGAAACUAGGAGACUUGAGUAUAGUAGGGGUAGAGGGAAUUUCCAGUGGAGCGGUGAAAUGCGUAGAUAUUGGAAAGAACACCGAUGGCGAAGGCAGGUCUCUGGGCCAUAACUGACGCUGAGAAGCGAAAGCAUGGGGAGCGAACAGG
rnacentral:rRNA from 1 species